UGAGGAGAGAUUUUUAGUGGUGGCCAACAUAAUCGGCAGAAUAUUGCUGAACAAUCUCCAGCUAGAGAUGCUCCUCUCAGUGGAAGACUUUAAUGUGGAUGAAGUAGGGAGCAGUGGGUCUGUGGACUUGAACCUGGCGAUCCCAGAGACCGCUAACCCUGUCAAAGUGGUAGACAUCACAACACCCCUGACCACUAAUCCAGUCAACCUUGAGGUUUUGGAUGAAACACUUGUCCUUCAGUCAGGCUUUUCCCCGGCACUCUGCACCCCACCACCUGAAUUUGCCCCAACACCCUGCACUCCACCCCCAGGCUUUGCCCUGACAACCUACACCUCGUCGCCAAGCUUUGUCGCUAAGGCCAUGCAGGGCUUUGGCACCAAAGUCAUCCUGAAACAAAUGGUCCUGCUAUUCUUGGAGAGGCUCCCUCCUUCGUCAGAGGACCUUGAGUCAGAGUUCCUGACUAUCACCAAUCGUAUCUGCACGCUGUUUCAAAGCAUCACUGCCAGAUUCCGCAACAUCGUUAAUGAGGAGCUGGAUAAGUGUACCGACUCUGACAGUAAGAAGUACUGGGCUUACACCUUCUAUUGGGAGUAUAUGAAGAGGUACCCAUCAUCCCAGUGCCUGGGGAUUGAAGCCUUCACAUGUGAUGAGGAGAGAUGUUUAGUGGUGGCCAAAAUGUUUGCAAAGAAGAUGUGCCCCAAGAUGCUCCCCUCAGCAGCAGACUUCGACGAGGCUGAAGAUUCAGGCAGCAAUGGAUCUGUGGACUUGAACCUGGUGAUCCCAGAGACCGCUAACCCUGUCAAAGUGGUAGACAUCACAACACCCCUGACCACUAAUCCAG
ensembl:lncRNA